CCAGAUGUUAUCUCAAGCAAAGAAGAGCUAGGAGAAGUUAAGUUGGCUAUAUAGAAAAAAAAAUGACAAAUGUCUUCAUCUUACCUCUCUGAGCUCCUCAGACCUUCAAUCCAGCUCUCCACCAUAGGUGACUGGAGGCAGCUGGUCUCACAAAAGGCUCUGAGGAUAUGAUUGCUGAAGGAUUCAAUCUCUCAUCGCAGAGACGUAAAGGAAAAUUAAAUGAUUCAUGGAAUUCUCUCCAGGGACACAUGUUUCAAAUAUUUCUCAGUAAUAUUUCACUUCAGGUCCAAAAUGGGACUGGAGAAAUGCAAUGAAUAUGAAAGUCACAGUUCCUAUGGAAAAGCUCAUAAGCUGGCGGGAGAGCCCAAUAGAUGAACAAUGACAAUUAAACAUAAAAAGUGCUUUAGUGAAACCAAGUGCCACAGGAGCCCGAGGAGCAAGCACCUAGCUCUUCCUAGGGAAGCUUUCUUACCUUAUACCAGUGGUUCUCAUAGAAUAGAGAUUUGUGCCUCCCAGUGGACAUUUGGCAAUAUCUCAAGACAUGCAUGAAACAAGGACAAGAGAGCAGACAUAGAAAGAAAGAAACUUCAGAUGGUGAUGUAGCUCUAAUACUUGUAGAAGGAGAGAGAGAAGGAAGAAGGCUGAGCCCCAGACUGCAAUGCUGCCCUGUAAAAGUCUUGGUCAGCCUGAAGAGGAAUCCUUGAGUAGGGAUUGUCCACUAUAGGAGUCAUAUGUUGGGCAAGAACUGCCUGUCCCUAGGAUCCCAGCAUGCUCAGUCACUGGCUGAGAGCUUCUGGGAAAGACAACAGUCUUGGCAUGAAUGCAUGGUGGAUACGGAGAUGUGGCCGCAGAAGCUGUCAGCUGACAAUGCUCCUCUCAGCAGGGUCUUUCUAGAUGGGAGAUUGCUUGGUGCACCCCCAUGACCACCACAAAUAGACUGUGUGUUGCUAAGCAAGAAUUGUUAAAGGACUCCGUCUUUACUCCAAAAAGCUAGGCUGUACUUCUCCCCUGAUGAAGGAGGUUGUGUAACACCUGCAAAUCUUCCAAAAGCCUUUUUGUUGAUAGAGCUACUGCUCUGAUGUUUUGUUAUUUGUCUAUACAAUAAUGGAAGAAAGACCUUUCCUUUUCUGUUGCAAAUUAAGUGAAGAAAAUUUGUGAUUAUACACCACUCUGAGACUACAGUUUCUGCCCCUGGAAUGUUAAUAAAAGGGAUCAAAGCAUGCACACGUGCACACAGCCACACACAGACACCCACACCCACCCACCCACACACAUGUUUUUCUGAAACGAUUACCUAUUGCCUCCACAGGGCAUUGGUUAUAAUUUAUGGAAACUACCUUUCUGUGUACAGACCAUAGACAAAGGAUAAGCUUGAACUCCAGGGUGCAGGAUCUUUUGGAUGUUUGAAGAACGCUUUUUUGGUAGAUAAUGGAAAGCAAUAUAGGAAAUAUCUGAUAUUUUGUGUCAUUUUAUUUAGAAGAAUCCAAGGUGGCAGUGACUCUUUGACUAGCUUCAGUCACUCUUGGUGUCUUGAUUUUGGCAGGUCCUAAAACAUCACGUCAGGGGAGCCAUCUGCCUUUUGUGCUUGCCCCUUACGAAGAAAACACGGUUCUUCUAUUAUGUUGUUGAUUGCACUGGAGCCUAGUGAGUUCCUCAGGAAAUAAUGUGAACAUACUCAAAACAGAAAUCUGUGGUCCCAGCAACCAGUCAGAGCAUGCUGUCCGUGGAAUUAAUGCAAUCAGCCCUCUCGGUUACAAAGAAGACCCCUUAUAGUCAACAGCUGGCAUUUGAACACGUUCGCUGUUUAACAAUAAGGAGUCAUGGCAGUGUUGUGGAUUUAAGAACAAGAUGUGGAAUAGUGUGCAGUCCUACGUGGAAUUUCUUAAAACCCCACUGCCAAGAGUAACUCCUUUGAAAUAGAAGAGAGACAGUAAAAUAAAGAACGAGAGAUACUGUUUUUAGCUCACUUCCCAUCUUUGUGUGUGUGUGUGUGUGUGUGUGUGUGUGUGUGUGUGACAUUUUGAGGAAAGUAAUUCCAGAAUUAAACCUCACAGUGAAAGUGCUUUAGUUGACACCCAGCUUCAGGAAAUUAGAAAAGGACAGAAUUCAUUUUGCCAGCAAGCUCAUCACAUUAAUUCAUAAAAUCCCCAUAUCGAAUAACCCCGUAUCAGGCACUGUCCCUUUGGGGAACAUCACACAGGAGGUAGUUUAUAGGAAAAAAUUCUAAGUUUCCAGUUCCCAUAUAUCAGACAUAGCCAGAAAGCUGAGGAAGCAGGGGCUUCUUAUGUUGUUAUUUUUCCGGAGGAUUUGAUAUAUUUAUUUUAUCUAGAAAUGGGUUUUGGGAAAAAGACAAGCUACUGCACUAUGCCUUAUCAAUGUCAGAAGAGUUAUCAUACACAAACACUCAAUAAUGACUUUAAAAAGUGAUUAUGAACUAGUUCAUUUCUCAAUGCAGCACACACUACAGUAAUAAUCCAAAUUGCCUGUGACUUAUGAGUAUAUUUGGCAACAACCACUAGUUCCCACUGUAGUGUGAAAUUAACACCACAGACUGUAGCUGUGGCAUUUAUUGAGCACAAGGGAGCUGAUUAUAGCCUCAUAAAUUCAAAGGCAACCUCUGCUAUUACUUAAUUAGAAUCAGUAUCUAUGCAUAAAUUACAGUAGCAAUAACUAGUACUGUUACAGUUAAAGAUUUGUCAGCUUCCUUAUUAUAUAACAACCCCUUAUUUUUCCGCAUAAACCUAUAAUUUAGGGAGGUUAUAAGUUGUCUGUAAAAGUUGUUCAGAGGGGAAAAUUGGCACAUGGUAUCUUGGAGGCCAGUAGUGUUUUGUUUCUAAGUAAACUUUUAAAAUAUUCAUCUUGUGCUGUUGCUUUUUUUUUCUUAAAAAUAAUACCACUAAAUCCCUAAUCUCCCCCUAGUAAUAAAUUGUUUUGGCUACAUAUGCAAGUUUUUAGAGUAUAAAACUUCAUUUUAAAACAAGUGUUGUCUUAGUACUUUUUCUUUGGGGAUCCUUUUUAUUUUUAAAAUUAUUAUAAAAUAAACUUUACACACACACACACACAUACACACACUUAAUGAACAUAGACUAUUAUCCUCCAAUUUAAGUUUUAUUCUCUGCUAAUGUGUAUAAUACAUUCACACAGUUGAAAUCAAUAGGUACACUUUCUUUGGGGUCCAGUUUUUAAAUUUUUUGGCUUAACAUUUUCUUGUACACACAUGGGCCUCACCAACAUAGCCCACAUAUGGCUUAGUAUUCUAUCAGAUUAAUCUUCCAAAAUUUAUCAGAAAAAUAAAAUCAUCAGAGUCAAAUGAUAGCCUUGCAUCAUGCAAAGAUAUACUCCAGACAGAAAGGUAAGUUUUAGCCACAGGAAGAGACAAAUGUGAUAAAUCAUCAGGAAAAUAGUUAUCAGGAAUGUGGAACAGGUCCAUGAAAUAAAAUGAAUCCAUUAAUUUGUUGGCACUAUACUGUGUUUUUAAAUAUCAUUUGGAUAAAUUAACUAUUUUUCAACUAGAUGUUUUUCUGCUGUGUAGAUGCUACCUAAUUCAUUUACAAAGUUAGGGCCAUAUUAUUUACAAAAUGAGAAACUGCAUACAAAGAGGCAGGAUAGCUUGCUUUUUGCUUUCAGUGACACUCAAUAAUCUUUUUAUUCUUAAGAUAGAUAUAGUUUACCCUUCAGCAAUACAAUAUUUCUAAAAAAAAUCACACUUUCACAUUUGUCUCUGUAUAAUUGUUUUAAAACAUACCAGGCUGAUAAUUUGAAAUAUAGUCUAUAUUAUUGCUAAUAUUAAAUUACUACCAUUGUUAUUAUUAUUAGACAUUCCAAAAAGUGCUUUUCCAGCCUGCCUUUCCUUGAUCAUUGUUGGGGUGUAGGUGUCUUAAUGGUAGGAACAUAAAGUAAACAAAUUUUUUUUCUCCACACCCAGAAAUAAUUGUUAUUUAUUCUGGGCAAGUGAAAACGUGAACAGCUACUGUCAAGCCUGCACUGGACUGUCAUCAGGCAUGGAUUGUACAGGCUUUUAAAAAAAUAAACUUCAGGGGCAGAUUUUAACAAAGAAAUUCAACAAUAAAUAUCACACUCAGUCUGUUUUGUUAUACCAAGGGUUUACCUGACCCCACAACUUAAGACCAGGCUGAGCCAUCUACAGAUCAUACGGAUAACAAUCAUCAGGCAGGGGCUUCUGGAUAUUGUAUCACUACACAUUGAUGCCCGGACUCAUGAAUUUGGCUGCCUAAAUGACAGAAUUGUGUUGGCUCUGUUUAUUUCCAUCAAACACUUAUAAGCUGUUAUGAUGACGAAUGGGGAAAAAUAUUGCUGGACAAUGGCAGCUGUAAUAAGCGUACGGGUAUGAAAUGCAAAGAAAUUACUGUAGACAAGCUCAAUUUAUCCAGAGGGAGGGCAGAAUAUGAACUUUUGCCUACAUGGAAUAAUUUCUGGGCUUCUGAUAUGAUCCUGCAAGCUAAAAAGAAGGCAAAGAGCUUUCUUAUUUUAUAUUUUAGGUUAGAAGUCAUUACGUUAGACACUGAAGCACAAUUGCAAUGCUGAGAGGAGUGCAUUUUAAGAAAUUUAGAUCAUUGUACAUUUUGGAAGGAAAACUAGAAGAAGGUUAGAUUUAGCUCAACUUUUGAGUCAGUAAAAUAAUUACAAGCACUUUGUUUGUAAUAAUGGCGAAUGUUGGGGUGUAUGUCAACAUAAACUUGCAUCCACAGCAUCACCUCCUUUUACUUCCUCCUUCCCAAAUCUGCUGGUGGUGCUGGGAUGUGUGUGACGAUGCAAAUGGCAGAGGACUGGAGAAGAUAAGAGAACUGAAUGCAACGGCAGCGGGAGCGGAAAGAGGAGUUUGAGGAGGAGAUGUGUAGAGAAGAAAGCAAGACUGGGAAGAGAUUCCUCACAGAGUAAGACUUUGGAAAAAACAUAGAAAAGAAGACAUCCUCUCAGAAGAUUUGUGUGAUGUGCUGUGGAACUUCAAUGGACUGCCAGGAAAGAUCACCUCCCUUUUAAGGCUGGUUUUGAGACCUAUUUUUGUUUCUACUGGGUACAGCAGCAAACUGAGAUGAGCCCUAAGAGCUGCAUACAGGUUUAUAUUUUAGGAUGAAUAGGUUUGGGAUCCUUUUCUUUGUGCAUAUUUUAGCAGAAAAACAUAUUUAAAAAGAGUAUAACGAGUCCAUUUUAGAGUUUCAAUAGAGUUGCUAGAUUUAACAAAAAUAAAUGUCCAGUUAAAUUUGAAUUUCAGAUAAACAACAAAUAAUUGUUAGUGUAAAUAUGCCUAAUAUUGCAUGGGGUACACUUAUGCUAAGAAAUUUGUUAUCUGAAAUACAAAUUUAGCUGGACAGCCUAUAUUUUUACCUGCUAAAUUUGGCAAUUCUGCUGUAGGGUGGAGUAAAAGAUAGGCAAGGGGGAGAAGGGUGCAUCAUGAUCAUUAUCUUCUCUAUUUCUGAAGUCAGAACUUAAUUUGGCAGUGUUCUCCCUCUGGUUUUAAAAAAUGAGAAUUUUUUUUUAAGCGAUGGGUUCUCACUCUGUUGCCAAGGCUACGGUACAGUGGCACGACCAUAGCUCACUGCAUCCUGGAACUCCUGGGCUCAAGUGAUUCUCCCACUUCAGCCUUCCAAGUAGCUGGGGCUACAGGCUUGUGCCACUGCACCUGGCCAGAAUUUCUUCUAGUAAGAAAUAUGAAUGUUUGUUUACUAACAACUAGACAUCUGCUAGUAACAUGUUAAUAUAAAAUGAUUAAGGCCUGAAUACAUAAAAUUUAGGAGAAUAAAAAUCGAUUUCUUCAAAAGGUGAUUUAAUAUAGUUUAUCACCAAGAGCCGUAAAAGCUCCAAAUGACUUGCUAAUUUAUGUAAAGUAGAAAUUCUAUGAUGUGACUUUGUGAAUUUGCCUAACUAUAUAUCUGCAUUUACUAAAUUUCUAAAUCCACAAUACACUAGAAAAAUUGGUUGUCAUGUCAACUUUCAUGUGCUAUACUGAGAAACUUUAUUUUGUCUUUUUUUUUUUAAAAGCCAAUUACACAAUAAAGUCAAACAAAUUUGACUGCAGAAAAUGAAGAAACAGAUUCUUUAUAGGUCUUCUAUUGUAUAUGGAGUAAUAUUAACCAGCCACAACCAAACAUAUCCCUUUUGGCACCUUAUUACCAAAGAUGUGAC
rnacentral:lncRNA from 1 species